rnacentral:rRNA from 1 species
GGGUUGUGAGGUUAAGCGACUAAGCGUACACGGUGGAUGCCCUGGCAGUCAGAGGCGAUGAAGGACGUGCUAAUCUGCGAUAAGCGUCGGUAAGGUGAUAUGAACCGUUAUAACCGGCGAUUUCCGAAUGGGGAAACCCAGUGUGUUUCGACACACUAUCAUUAACUGAAUCCAUAGGUUAAUGAGGCGAACCGGGGGAACUGAAACAUCUAAGUACCCCGAGGAAAAGAAAUCAACCGAGAUUCCCCCAGUAGCGGCGAGCGAACGGGGAGCAGCCCAGAGCCUGAAUCAGUGUGUGUGUUAGUGGAAGCGUCUGGAAAGGCGCGCGAUACAGGGUGACAGCCCCGUACACAAAAAUGCACAUGCUGUGAGCUCGAUGAGUAGGGCGGGACACGUGGUAUCCUGUCUGAAUAUGGGGGGACCAUCCUCCAAGGCUAAAUACUCCUGACUGACCGAUAGUGAACCAGUACCGUGAGGGAAAGGCGAAAAGAACCCCGGCGAGGGGAGUGAAAAAGAACCUGAAACCGUGUACGUACAAGCAGUGGGAGCACGCUUAGGCGUGUGACUGCGUACCUUUUGUAUAAUGGGUCAGCGACUUAUAUUCUGUAGCAAGGUUAACCGAAUAGGGGAGCCGAAGGGAAACCGAGUCUUAACUGGGCGUUAAGUUGCAGGGUAUAGACCCGAAACCCGGUGAUCUAGCCAUGGGCAGGUUGAAGGUUGGGUAACACUAACUGGAGGACCGAACCGACUAAUGUUGAAAAAUUAGCGGAUGACUUGUGGCUGGGGGUGAAAGGCCAAUCAAACCGGGAGAUAGCUGGUUCUCCCCGAAAGCUAUUUAGGUAGCGCCUCGUGAAUUCAUCUCCGGGGGUAGAGCACUGUUUCGGCAAGGGGGUCAUCCCGACUUACCAACCCGAUGCAAACUGCGAAUACCGGAGAAUGUUAUCACGGGAGACACACGGCGGGUGCUAACGUCCGUCGUGAAGAGGGAAACAACCCAGACCGCCAGCUAAGGUCCCAAAGUCAUGGUUAAGUGGGAAACGAUGUGGGAAGGCCCAGACAGCCAGGAUGUUGGCUUAGAAGCAGCCAUCAUUUAAAGAAAGCGUAAUAGCUCACUGGUCGAGUCGGCCUGCGCGGAAGAUGUAACGGGGCUAAACCAUGCACCGAAGCUGCGGCAGCGACGCUUAUGCGUUGUUGGGUAGGGGAGCGUUCUGUAAGCCUGCGAAGGUGUGCUGUGAGGCAUGCUGGAGGUAUCAGAAGUGCGAAUGCUGACAUAAGUAACGAUAAAGCGGGUGAAAAGCCCGCUCGCCGGAAGACCAAGGGUUCCUGUCCAACGUUAAUCGGGGCAGGGUGAGUCGACCCCUAAGGCGAGGCCGAAAGGCGUAGUCGAUGGGAAACAGGUUAAUAUUCCUGUACUUGGUGUUACUGCGAAGGGGGGACGGAGAAGGCUAUGUUGGCCGGGCGACGGUUGUCCCGGUUUAAGCGUGUAGGCUGGUUUUCCAGGCAAAUCCGGAAAAUCAAGGCUGAGGCGUGAUGACGAGGUACUACGGUGCUGAAGCAACAAAUGCCCUGCUUCCAGGAAAAGCCUCUAAGCAUCAGGUAACAUCAAAUCGUACCCCAAACCGACACAGGUGGUCAGGUAGAGAAUACCAAGGCGCUUGAGAGAACUCGGGUGAAGGAACUAGGCAAAAUGGUGCCGUAACUUCGGGAGAAGGCACGCUGAUAUGUAGGUGAAGUCCCUUGCGGAUGGAGCUGAAAUCAGUCGAAGAUACCAGCUGGCUGCAACUGUUUAUUAAAAACACAGCACUGUGCAAACACGAAAGUGGACGUAUACGGUGUGACGCCUGCCCGGUGCCGGAAGGUUAAUUGAUGGGGUUAGCGGUAACGCGAAGCUCUUGAUCGAAGCCCCGGUAAACGGCGGCCGUAACUAUAACGGUCCUAAGGUAGCGAAAUUCCUUGUCGGGUAAGUUCCGACCUGCACGAAUGGCGUAAUGAUGGCCAGGCUGUCUCCACCCGAGACUCAGUGAAAUUGAACUCGCUGUGAAGAUGCAGUGUACCCGCGGCAAGACGGAAAGACCCCGUGAACCUUUACUAUAGCUUGACACUGAACAUUGAGCCUUGAUGUGUAGGAUAGGUGGGAGGCUUUGAAGUGUGGACGCCAGUCUGCAUGGAGCCGACCUUGAAAUACCACCCUUUAAUGUUUGAUGUUCUAACGUUGACCCGUAAUCCGGGUUGCGGACAGUGUCUGGUGGGUAGUUUGACUGGGGCGGUCUCCUCCUAAAGAGUAACGGAGGAGCACGAAGGUUGGCUAAUCCUGGUCGGACAUCAGGAGGUUAGUGCAAUGGCAUAAGCCAGCUUGACUGCGAGCGUGACGGCGCGAGCAGGUGCGAAAGCAGGUCAUAGUGAUCCGGUGGUUCUGAAUGGAAGGGCCAUCGCUCAACGGAUAAAAGGUACUCCGGGGAUAACAGGCUGAUACCGCCCAAGAGUUCAUAUCGACGGCGGUGUUUGGCACCUCGAUGUCGGCUCAUCACAUCCUGGGGCUGAAGUAGGUCCCAAGGGUAUGGCUGUUCGCCAUUUAAAGUGGUACGCGAGCUGGGUUUAGAACGUCGUGAGACAGUUCGGUCCCUAUCUGCCGUGGGCGCUGGAGAACUGAGGGGGGCUGCUCCUAGUACGAGAGGACCGGAGUGGACGCAUCACUGGUGUUCGGGUUGUCAUGCCAAUGGCACUGCCCGGUAGCUAAAUGCGGAAGAGAUAAGUGCUGAAAGCAUCUAAGCACGAAACUUGCCCCGAGAUGAGUUCUCCCUGACUCCUUGAGAGUCCUGAAGGAACGUUGAAGACGACGACGUUGAUAGGCCGGGUGUGUAAGCGCAGCGAUGCGUUGAGCUAACCGGUACUAAUGAACCGUGAGGCUUAACCUUACAACGCCGAAGCUGUU